UACAGAGGUGGCAAGCGUUGUUCGGAAUUACUGGGCGUAAAGGGCGCGUAGGCGGCCAUCUAAGUCAGACGUGAAAUCCCUCGCUUAACCGGGGAACUGCGCCUGAUACUGGUUGACUUGAGUUUGGGAGAGGGACGCGGAAUUCCAGGUGUAGCGGUGAAAUGCGUAGAUAUCUGGAGGAACACCGGUGGCGAAGGCGGCGUCCUGGACCAAUACUGACACUGAGGAGCGAAAGCCAGGGGAGCAAACGGG
rnacentral:rRNA from 1 species